rnacentral:tRNA from 1 species
GCAUUUGUGGUUCGGUGGUAGAAUUCUCACCUCCCAUUUGGGAGGCCAGGGUUCCCAUCCCAGCCACCUCCCAUUCAGGAGACCUGGGUUCAAUUCCUGGCCAAUGCU